rnacentral:rRNA from 1 species
UCGCUGGCGGCAGGCCUAACACAUGCAAGUCGAACGGCAGCGCGGGGAGCUUGCUCCCUGGCGGCGAGUGGCGGACGGGUGAGUAAUGCGUAGGAAUCUACCUUGUAGUGGGGGAUAACCUGGGGAAACUCGGGCUAAUACCGCAUAAUCUCUUUGGAGCAAAGCGGGGGAUCUUCGGACCUCGUGCUAUAAGAUGAGCCUACGUCGGAUUAGCUUGUUGGUGGGGUAAUGGCCUACCAAGGCGACGAUCCGUAGCUGGUCUGAGAGGACGAUCAGCCACACUGGGACUGAGACACGGCCCAGACUCCUACGGGAGGCAGCAGUGGGGAAUAUUGGACAAUGGGGGAAACCCUGAUCCAGCAAUGCCGCGUGUGUGAAGAAGGCCUUCGGGUUGUAAAGCACUUUCGGUGGGGAAGAAAUUCUCAAGGGUAAUAUCCUUGGGCGUUGACGUUACCCACAGAAGAAGCACUGGCUAACUCUGUGCCAGCAGCCGCGGUAAUACAGAGAGUGCAAGCGUUAAUCGGAAUCACUGGGCGUAAAGCGCGCGUAGGUGGAUAUUUAAGUCGGAUGUGAAAGCCCUGGGCUUAACCUGGGAAUUGCACCCGAUACUGGGUAUCUUGAGUAUGGUAGAGGGAAGUGGAAUUUCCGGUGUAGCGGUGAAAUGCGUAGAUAUCGGAAAGAACACCAGUGGCGAAGGCGACUUCCUGGACCAAUACUGACACUGAGGCGCGAAAGCGUGGGGAGCAAACAGGAUUAGAGACCCUGGUAGUCCACGCCGUCAACGAUGAGAACUAGCUGUUGGGAAGUUCACUUCUUAGUAGCGAAGCUAACGCGUUAAGUUCUCCGCCUGGGGAGUACGGCCGCAAGGUUAAAACUCAAAGAAAUUGACGGGGGCCCGCACAAGCGGUGGAGCAUGUGGUUUAAUUCGAUGCAACGCGAAAAACCUUACCUACCCUUGACAUCCUCGGAACUUGUCAGAGAUGAUUUGGUGCCUUCGGGAACCGAGUGACAGGUGCUGCAUGGCUGUCGUCAGCUCGUGUCGUGAGAUGUUGGGUUAAGUCCCGUAACGAGCGCAACCCUCGUCCUUAGUUGCCAGCGAGUCAAGUCGGGAACUCUAAGGAGACUGCCGGUGAUAAACCGGAGGAAGGUGGGGAUGAUGUCAAGUCAUCAUGGCCCUUACGGGUAGGGCUACACACGUGCUACAAUGGGCAGUACAAAGGGUUGCCAAGCCGCGAGGUGGAGCUAAUCCCAGAAAACUGCUCGUAGUCCGGAUUGGAGUCUGCAACUCGACUCCAUGAAGUUGGAAUCGCUAGUAAUCGCGAAUCA